UCGACCUCACAUCAGGCGAGAUA
rnacentral:rRNA from 1 species